rnacentral:rRNA from 1 species
UACGGGGGGGGCAAGCGUUGUUCGGAAUUACUGGGCGUAAAGGGCUCGUAGGUGGCCAACUAAGUCAGACGUGAAAUCCCUCAGCUUAACUGGGGAACUGCGUCUGAUACUGGAUGGCUUGAGUUUGGGAGAGGGAUGCGGAAUUCCAGGUGUAGCGGUGAAAUGCGUAGAUAUCGGGAGGAACACCUAUGGCGAAGGCAGCUUGCUGGGACGGUACUGACGCUGAGGCGCGAAAGCGUGGGGAGCGAACAGG